AGUCAAUGUAAAACUUAAUCUAUGAUCAUUAAUAUAUGUACUUAAUAAAUUUUUAUAUGGAUAUACAUCAUGUAUCAUAGUAUAUAUUGAGUUUCAAUGAGUAACUACAUCAAGUUUAAAUUUUUUAAAGUAUCUACCAUGAUCUAUACAUAUUUUUUAAAAUUUUUGAAGUCUUACUCUUGAAACAUGAAUCAAAGAAACUGUAUAUCCAAUUUUUACAAUAAUAUCUUGAACCACACCCAUGUC
rnacentral:lncRNA from 1 species